rnacentral:rRNA from 1 species
UAACACCAGCCCCUCGAGUGGUGGGGAUGAUUAUUUGGCCUAAAGCGUCCGUAGCCGGCCGAGCAAGUCUUCCGUUAAAUCCAGCGUCUCAAGCGUUGGACCGCGGGAGAUACUACACGGCUAGAGAGUGGGAGAGGUCAGCGGUAUUCUGGGGGUAGGGGCGAAAUCCUUUGAUCCCCGGAGGACCACCAGUGGCGAAGGCUGCUGACUAGAACACGUCUGACGGUCAGGGACGAAAGCUGGGGUAGCGAACCGGAUUAGAUACCCGGGUAGUCCCAGCCGUAAACGAUGCAUGCUAGGUGUUGGGUUGGCCACGAGCCACCCCAGUGCCGCAGGGAAGCCGUUAAGCAUGCCGCCUGGGAAGUACGAUCGCAAGAUUG